rnacentral:lncRNA from 1 species
GCUGGAGCUCUUGACAAAGGCUUGUUGCAGGGAGCAACUUAAAGAGGCUUCUCUCCCCGCCCUCCUUCCCGGGACCGUAUACCAGAACUGCUCUGCGCUUGGUCAAGCCUGUCUUGCUGCCUGUCCUGGGGCAGCUCUGGCAUCGCACUGACCGCACCUGGCUGGGACAACGGUGGCUCGCCCUUCCUGACCUAUGCCGGCUUCACCCAUCUGAAUGGGCCCAGCUUUGGCUGAAGCCCGGGGGAGAUAACUUUGAGAAAUGGAAAUUCCAGAAAGUUGGGGAAAUAUUUUAACAAACAGUAGAAUCAGUUUGCAUUUGAGUUGCUGAGAAAUGGGGAAGUUGACUUUCCUGGCCAUGGGAGUUCGCGGAGUGAUAUCACCAAGAGAACUUAGAGAGCGGGUCCAAGUUGUCUAAGGCGCGAUCUUAGGAAUGGAAAACAACGAUGCGGUCGGUUGGAAAGGGUCAUAAAUAAACCCCAGUGGGCAGUCCUAACAAGCACAGCCUCAGCAGUGAAGGAAGUUGAAAACACAACCGCCCAACUGCAAGCAGCCAGCCCGUCGCUGGAGGAGAGAGAGGAGCCAGGAUUCCCGAUUCCCAGUCUAGUUCUCAUUUUAUAAACUUGAUCCUAUGUCAUAUGAGUCAACC